UGAGUACGAGAUGCUACGGCAUCGAAGCAGUCUAUGUCAUACUUCCAAGAAAAGCUUGCAAUGUCAUAAACAAAUAAUGCCUGUACCAUAACCGACACAGGUGGGUAGGUAGAGUAUACUAAGGGGCGCGAGAUAACUCUCUCUAAGGAACUCGGCAAAAUGACUCCGUAACUUCGGGAGAAGGAGUGCCUUAUUUUUAUAAGGUUGCAAUAACAAGAUCCAAGCAACUGUUUACCAAAAACACAGGUCUCCGCUAAGUCGUAAGACGAUGUAUGGGGGCUGACGCCUGCCCAGUGCCAGAAGGUUAAAGAAGUUGGUUAGCAUUAGCGAAGCUGAUAACUGAAGCCCUGGUGAACGGCGGCCGUAACAAUAACGGUCCUAAGGUAGCGAAAUUCCUUGUCGGGUAAGUUCCGACCCGCACGAAAGGCGUAAUGAUUUGGAUACUGUCUCGGAGAGGGGCUCGGUGAAAUAGACUUGUCUGUGAAGAUGCGGACUACCAGCACCUGCACAGAAAGACCCUAUGAAGCUUUACUGUAACUUGAGAUUGAAAUUGGACUUUAUCUGCGCAGUAUAGGUGGGAGACGUUGAAAAUAUUCUUGCGGGAAUAUUGGAGUCAUCAGUGAGAUACCACUCUUAUAAUGUUAGAUUUCUAACUUUGUAUCACUAUCUGGUCAAAGAACAGUUUCAGGCGGGCAGUUUGACUGGGGCGGUCGCCUCCCAAACGGUGACGGAGGCGCACAAAGGUUUCCUCUGAACGUGUAGAAGUCGUAUCUAGAGUGUAAAGACAUAAGGAAGCUUGACUGUGAGACCUACAAGUCGAGCAGGGACGAAAGUCGGUCUUAGUGAUCUGACGGUGCUGAGUGGAAAGGCCGUCACUCAACGGAUAAAAGUUACUCUAGGAUAACAGGCUGAUCUCCCCCAAGAGUUCACAUCGACGGGGAGGUUUGGCACCUUGAUGUCGGCUCAUCGCAUCCUGGGGCGGUAGUACGUCCCAAGGGUUGGGCUGUUCGCCCAUGAAAGCGGUACGCGAGCUGGGUUCAGAACGUCGUGAGACAGUUCGGUCCAUAUCCGGUGUAGGCGUUAGAAUAUUGAGAGGAGCCUUCUUUAGUACGAGAGGACCGAGAAGGACAUACCUCUGGUGUACCAGUUAUCGUGCCAACGGUAAACGCUGGGUAGCCAUGUAUGGAGAGGAUAACCGCUGAAAGCAUCUAAGUGGGAAGCCCACCUCAAGAUAAG
rnacentral:rRNA from 1 species